UACGGGGGGGCAAGCGUUGUUCGGAAUUACUGGGCGUAAAGGGCGCGUAGGCGGUUCGCUAAGUUGAAUGUGAAAACUCUGGGCUUAACCCAGAGCCUGCAUUCAAUACUGGCGGGCUAGAGUUCUGGAGGGGAUAGCGGAAUUCCUGGUGUAGCGGUGAAAUGCGUAGAUAUCAGGAGGAACACCGGUGGCGAAGGCGGCUAUCUGGACAGAGUCUG
rnacentral:rRNA from 1 species